rnacentral:lncRNA from 1 species
GAAUUAGGCUGGAAUACAACGCUCUUUUUGCUAUCAAGUUUUUAACCCUUGGAUGAAAAAUUGUAGGGUCGGGAUGAUAUUAGUCGGUUAGAGUUGAAUGGUCCCCCUAGGGUUGAGUGGUCCUCACUGGGUUAUAGUAUUUAAUCUAAUGGUUAUAAAUAAUGAAAAGAGUUAAUCCAAAGGCUAAAAAACUGGUAGCAACAAUAGAAUUUUGUUACUAAUAGUAGCCUAGUCCAACUAUAUAUAUAUAUAUAUUAUGGAUGCGUCAUGGACGAAAAGUCCAACAGGCGUCCAUGGUAUGUCGUCCAUGUUGGACACGAGUCCAACACGAACACGUGAGACUUAUAGCUAGCCACGUCCGUGGUACAUAGCAUGUAAUGUGAUUUUUGUCUGCUAAUUAUCGAGUUUAAGCUAAGUUGAUCAUUAGAUGAAUAAUAUAAAAAAUAUUAUGAAAUUUAUUUUUUAAAUACUUCAAAUAUUUUAGAUCAAAUUUAAUAGAACCAAUUGCUAAUUUGGAAGUUUCUUUAUUGAAACAACUUGGAAGCACGAUUUUUCGAUAUUAUUUAUCUAUCUAGAGAUGGAGUGAUUUCAAAAUAAACGACUAAAUCAGAAUGAUCCAUCGUUCCGAUAAGUUUUGUACCUUUUAACCUUUAUAAAUGUAUAACCCACU